rnacentral:rRNA from 1 species
AUUGAACGCUGGCGGCAUGCUUUACACAUGCAAGUCGAACGGCAGCGCGGGCUUCGGCCUGGCGGCGCGUGGCGAACGGGUGAGUAAUGCAUCGGAACGUGCCCAGUAGUGGGGGAUAGCCCGGCGAAAGCCGGAUUAAUACCGCAUACGACCUGAGGGUGAAAGCGGGGGACCGAAAGGCCUAGCGCUAUUGGAGCGGCCGAUGUCGGAUUAGCUAGUUGGUGGGGUAAAGGCUUACCAAGGCGACGAUCCGUAGCUGGUCUGAGAGGACGACCAGCCACACUGGGACUGAGACACGGCCCAGACUCCAACGGGAGGCAGCAGUGGGGAAUUUUGGACAAUGGGGGAAACCCUGAUCCAGCCAUGCCGCGUGCGGGAAGAAGGCCUUCGGGUUGUAAACCGCUUUUAUUCGGGAAGAAAACCUCUGGGCUAAUACCCCGGGGUGAUGACGGUACCGGAAGAAUAAGCACCGGCUAACUACGUG